rnacentral:rRNA from 1 species
CCGUAGGUGAACCUGCGGAAGGAUCAUUAAUUACGAAAGCUAUAGCCCCUUCGGGGGUUAUUGCAUCCACCCUUUGUUUACUUGUACCUCUGUUGUUUCCUCGGCAGGCUUGCCUGCCGCUAGGAACCCCUUAAACUCUUGUAUUUACAGUAUUAAAUCUCUGAUAACUAUUUAAAUUAUUACAACUUUCAACAAUGGAUCUCUUGGUUCUGGCAUCGAUGAAGAACGCAGCGAAAUGCGAAAAGUAGUGUGAAUUGCAGAAUUCCGUGAAUCAUCGAAUCUUUGAACGCACAUUGCGCCCCUCGGUAUUCCGUGGGGCAUGCCUGUUCGAGCGUCAUUUACACCCUCAAGCUCUGCUUGGUGUUGGGCGUCUGUCCCGCUUUAUGCGUGGACUCGCCCCAAAGUCAUUGGCAGCGGUCGUGCCAGCUUCUCGCGCAGCACAUUUGCGUUUCUUGAAGUUUGGUGGAUCAGCAUCCAGUAAGCUCUUUUAUGACUUGACCUCGGAUCAGGUAGGGAUACCCGCUGAACUUAAGCAUAUCAAUAAGCGGAGG